GGCUUCCUAUGGAGCUGGGCAGAGGAUAAUGAAAAUAGGCCAUGUUAUCAAAAUCAAUUAUGGAUUUUUUUGUUCCUUCUUUACUCCCACUGCUUCACUUGACUAAUCUUAA
rnacentral:sRNA from 1 species